AUUGAACGCUGGCGGCAGGCCUAACACAUGCCAGUCGAGCGGAUGAAGGGAGCUUGCUCCUGGAUUCAGCGGCGGACGGGUGAGUAAUGCCUAGGAAUCUGCCUGGCCGUUGGGGAUAACGUCCGUAAACGGGCGCUAACACCGCAUACGUCCUGAUGUAGAAAGUGGGGGAUCUUCGGACCUCACGCUAUCAGAUGAGCCUAGGUCGGAUUAGCUAGUUGGUUGGGUAAGGGCCUACCAAGGCGACGAUCCGUAACUGGUCUGAGAGGAUGAUCAGUCACACUGGAACUGAGACACGGUCCAGACUCCUACGGGAGGCAGCAGUGGGGAAUAUUGGACAAUGGGCGAAAGCCUGAUCCAGCCAUGCCGCGUGUGUGAAGAAGGUCUUCGGAUUGUAAAGCACUUUAAGUUGGGAGGAAGGGAAGUAAGUUAAUACCUGGCUGUUUUGACGUUACCAACAGAAUAAGCACCGGCUAACUUCGUG
rnacentral:rRNA from 1 species